rnacentral:tRNA from 1 species
GGGGUUCUAGCCCAGUGGUUAGAGCGAUAGAUUCACGACUUAAAGGUCGGGGGUUCGAUUCCCGAUCCCCA